rnacentral:rRNA from 1 species
GAGAGUUUGAUCCUGGCUCAGGACGAACGCUGGCGGCACGCUUAACACAUGCAAGUCGAACGAGAGAAGAGGAGCUUGCUUUUCUGAUCUAGUGGCGGACGGGUGAGUAACACGUGAGCAAUCUGCCUUUCAGAGGGGGAUACCGAUUGGAAACGAUCGUUAAUACCGCAUAACAUAAUUGAACCGCAUGAUUUGAUUAUCAAAGAUUUAUCGCUGAAAGAUGAGCUCGCGUCUGAUUAGCUAGUUGGUAAGGUAACGGCUUACCAAGGCGACGAUCAGUAGCCGGACUGAGAGGUUGAUCGGCCACAUUGGGACUGAGACACGGCCCAGACUCCUACGGGAGGCAGCAGUGGGGAAUAUUGCACAAUGGAGGAAACUCUGAUGCAGCGAUGCCGCGUGAGGGAAGAAGGUUUUAGGAUUGUAAACCUCUGUCUUCAGGGACGAAAAAAGACGGUACCUGAGGAGGAAGCUCCGGCUAACUACGUGCCAGCAGCCGCGGUAAUACGUAGGGAGCGAGCGUUGUCCGGAAUUACUGGGUGUAAAGGGAGCGUAGGCGGGAUCGCAAGUCAGAUGUGAAAACUAUGGGCUUAACCCAUAAACUGCAUUUGAAACUGUGGUUCUUGAGUGAAGUAGAGGUAAGCGGAAUUCCUAGUGUAGCGGUGAAAUGCGUAGAUAUUAGGAGGAACAUCAGUGGCGAAGGCGGCUUACUGGGCUUUAACUGACGCUGAGGCUCGAAAGCGUGGGGAGCAAACAGGAUUAGAUACCCUGGUAGUCCACGCCGUAAACGAUGAUUACUAGGUGUGGGGGGACUGACCCCUUCCGUGCCGCAGCAAACGCAAUAAGUAAUCCACCUGGGGAGUACGACCGCAAGGUUGAAACUCAAAGGAAUUGACGGGGGCCCGCACAAGCAGUGGAGUAUGUGGAUUAAUUCGAAGCAACGCGAAGAACCUUACCAGGUCUUGACAUCGUAUGCAUAGCUCAGAGAUGAGUGAAAUCUCUUCGGAGACAUAUAGACAGGUGGUGCAUGGUUGUCGUCAGCUCGUGUCGUGAGAUGUUGGGUUAAGUCCCGCAACGAGCGCAACCCUUACUGUUAGUUGCUACGCAAGAGCACUCUAGCAGGACUGCCGUUGACAAAACGGAGGAAGGUGGGGAUGACGUCAAAUCAUCAUGCCCCUUAUGACCUGGGCCUCACACGUACUACAAUGGCUGUAAACAGAGGGAUGCAAAGCCGCGAGGUGGAGCGAACCCCUAAAAGCAGUCUUAGUUCGGAUUGUAGGCUGCAACCCGCCUACAUGAAGUCGGAAUUGCUAGUAAUCGCAGAUCAGCAUGCUGCGGUGAAUACGUUCCCGGGCCUUGUACACACCGCCCGUCACGCCAUGGGAGUCGGUAACACCCGAAGCCUGUAGUCUAACCGCAAGGAGGACGCAGUCGAAGGUGGGAUUGAUGACUGGGGUGAAGUCGUAACAAGGUAGCCG